AACGGGGUUGCAUAAACAUUGUCCUGGGAUACUGUGAGUCACGGUUGUUCGGUGGCACUAUUCGUGGCCAUUAUCAGAUACUAUGAAUGCACUUUACAUGGGAAAUAAUAAUGAGACCGCAGAAAUACGGUUGCGUUACGGAGAGUAUCUAAAUGUCGGGCACAGUAACAUGACUGCAGGUACCCGUGGAACAAUCGAGGAUUACCAACUAGUGAUAACACACGUAAUCUCGUGGACAAUACCGGAUUAAAUUGGUCCGCGAGAAUUGCAAGUCAAUAACGCCCCCGUUGGUUGAUCAAGAGCGAACCAAUAUGUAUAUGCGCCAGUAUGGCAUAAGUGGAACUAAAUUUCCCCAGAAAUUGUAUUCCCGGUGCACGUAGAUGGACUCUGUUCGAGCAGACUGCAUUCGGAUACAUUUUUAAAAUGGUUAUAACGAAUGCUUAUUCGAAUUCAAUACUUGCCUUAAUUCGCUAACCUGACUCGUCGAUAUUGAACGUCAAUAAAGAUUCCCGGGUGUCGAAUGUUACUCGAUUUCGUUCGGCGAGUGAAAAUGCAUUAGAGCGGCGCGAUUCACGAUUAAAUACCUAGAAGUCUCGCAAAGCAAAGAAUUCUCAUGGAGUAAAAGUGCAGCCAUAAUAAUAACAACACGCCGAACCAGAAGAUUUCCGUCAGCCGUAUAAUAAUUUCUGAGCCAUUAGCCUUCUUUUCUAAAGGGAUAAAAGCCAUCGAGGGGUUGUUACUAGCCGUUACUAGCCGUGCGUAAUGUCGGGGUGCCUUUUCUAGGGUUGCCAAUGUCACCGCUUAUUGCCAGACGAGCAUAUGUGUUCACGGUGCUAGAUUGGGGAGAAUAAAACCCCAUUCAUAUGUCAUUCUGUCACCUUUAUUCGUACCAUGAACGUGUACACGCUUCAGCCACGGCACGAACGACAAAUAUUCGCCACCCUGUAU